rnacentral:tRNA from 1 species
UCCCUGGUAGAAUAGUGGUUAGUAUGUGGUGCUCUCACUGCCACAGCCCUGGUUUGAUUCCUGGUCAGGGAA